AGAAAGUCCUAUACACCUAGGAUACCUCGAGGACAAACAAACAAACAAUAAAACCUCUUGUAUGUGACACACCAAUCAGUGGUGGAGAGGUACGGCAUGGCCCUUCAUCAGAAGAAAAAGAAAGACAGAUGGCUGAAGUCUGAGGGAAUGAGCAUCAACGGAAGAGCUCAGGAUCCCAGCAAGACCCCUGCGCUGAAGGAGCCACCUCUCUACCCUGAUCCCUAUCAGCUAAGCUCUCCCACUGGAGUUCCCGAACAGCAUAAGGAGAGCUGUAGAGGAAGAGCUCAAUCUUUACAUUAAGCCCCUUUUUUAGUGGGGAAACAAAGUGGACAUUACAUCAUUCAUAUUAUAUUUGAUGAUAGUUUAAAACAGCAGCCCUAAAAAGAAUUUGCAAACUUUAAACUGCAUUAGAUAACCAAAUAU